rnacentral:lncRNA from 1 species
GUUUUCUAAAAGCUCUCCAGCCUCAUCACUCUGGCCAACCUUCCUCCCUUGGGAUCAGCAAAUGCAGGAGCAGAGGGGAUUCGCUCAGAGGAGAACAUCUACACCAUCGAGGAGAACGUCUACCCCAUCGAGGAGAACGUCUACACCAUCGAGGAGAAUGUCUACGAGAUGGAGAAUCCAAGUGAGCAUUAUUGCUCGGCCAGCAAGGGGCAGCAAGCCUGACUCCCUCUGGGGUGUCACCUUUUCCUGCUGUUGGUUUCAGCCCCCUCAUUGUUCACUUUGGCAUUCUCCUUUUCAAAACCGAUAAAUGACUGGUUUUGCAGGUUAUACCCUCAGCCUCCUAAGAGACUGUUUCCAUUUUCAAAAGAUAAUUAGCUCACUUGGAAACUCACCUGUGACCUAUGCUGAACUUAGACAUAUUAUUACUUCUGUUUUCUAGCUAGCAUGGCUCCCCAACCCAGAGACUGCAGACUGUGGGCAUUAGAGCUCAGAAGUGCCUUUAUACAGGUUGAGAAGUUUUGGUUUUGAUACUAGGGAUUGAACCCAGGUUCCUGGCCUUAAAAAUAUUUUUUGUAAAAUUUUAUUUUGAGACAGAUUGUUGCUAAGUCAGUAAAUUUCCCAGGCUGGGUUCAAGCUCACCAUCCUUCCACCUCCGUCUCCCAGAACGCUGCUAUAAAAGGCAUAGGCCACAUGCCUGACUAGGAAUUCUUGAUAGAGGUCGCUGGAGCUCCAGGCAGGUCAGGGCUAUGAUAUGUCUACAAAGCUCCUGAAAAUAAGGAGAAUUGUAUGCUGAGAUACAUGCAUGUCUUUUUGAUAUAAAAAUGCAAAGGGGCCACUAACUUUCAUAAAAUCUGUGAUCCUUAAAAGGUUAAGCAGGACUAGAUCGGGACUACGUGAUCGUAAAAGUUCUUUUUGAGUCUCAAAGCUCACUCGUCUUUGAAUGCUGGGUCUCCUUCAGUGAGCACCUCUGCCCAGCUCUUUCCUGCCUCCUUUGGGAAGCAUGCUCAGCAGGUCUGAGGUGUGGACAGAGCUCCUGGGGACGAGGAAGCAGUCUUCAUGCUUGUGGCCAUGUUUGCUUGUGUCCUCGUGGGGAAAUACCUCUGACCAACUUCCCCAUUCAUGGAGAGAACUGGAGCUGUGCUCUCCUCCCCUCCCCUCCCCUCCCCUUCUCCCCUCUCUUUUCUUCCACCUUUCUUUUCUGUUUUAGGUACUGGGGAUCAAACUCGGGUCCUUGCGCUUGAGGGGCAGGCGGUGGAACCCGUGAGCUACAUCCCUGGCCCUCCACCUAUCUUUUUGUGGAAAAGUUGUGUUUUUCACUGAAGAACCCCAGUGGCCAAAACCAUAUUUUUUCCUGGUGGAAGAGGGCAGAGGCCUCCAGGAAUCCGUACUGUCAUCGGGGUCGGUUCCCUUGGUGGGAGACAGUGGUCCCGAAGUGUGAAUCCCAAGAUGACAGAACUAGGUUUGUCUGCUUAUUGCUGACUCCCAG